rnacentral:rRNA from 1 species
GAUGAACGCUGGCGGCGUGCCUAAUACAUGCAAGCCGAGCGAACAGACGAGGAGCUUGCUCCUCUGACGUUAGAGGCGGACGGGUGAGUAACACGUGGAUAAACUACCUAUAAGACUGGGAUAACUUCGGGAAACCGGAGCUAAUACCGGAUAAUAUAUUGAACCGCAUGGUUCAUUAGUGAAAGACGGUUUUGCUGUCCCUUAUAGAUGGAUCCGCGCCGCAUUAGCUAGUUGGUAAGGUAACGGCUUACCAAGGCAACGAUGCGUAGCCGACCUGAGAGGGUGAUCGGCCACACUGGAACUGAGACACGGUCCAGACUCCUACGGGAGGCAGCAGUAGGGAAUCUUCCGCAAUGGGCGAAAGCCUGACGGAGCAACGCCGCGUGAGUGAUGAAGGUCUUCGGAUCGUAAAACUCUGUUAUUAGGGAAGAACAAAUGUGUAAGUAACUAUGCACGUCUUGACGGUACCUAAUCAGAAAGCCACGGCUAACUACGUG